rnacentral:lncRNA from 1 species
AUCUGUUCUCAUGGCAGGGGGAUUUGCAGAGCUGUUACUGAACAAUAGCUCUGAGGGUAUAAAAGACUUGCUCGGAAGUUACCCCCUUUUAAGCACGUUAAGCAAAGAGACUUGGAUUUUUUUUUACAUUUGCUUCCCUUUUUUUCUGCUUCCAGAUUUUUGCAACACCUUUUUUUAUAUUGUCAAGUUUUCUGUCUCUGAAAAAACUUAGAACUUGGAUAUGAAGACGACUGGAUCUGCACAUGUCAUGAAAGAUCCAGGAGAUGGCCAAAGUGUAAUUUCAGUAUUGUCACAGUGGAUGGAAGUCUCUCCACCUGGCAGCAGGUGUAGCCAAUGGUGUUACGAUGUCCUACCAGUGUCUUUGAAGCACUCUGUGGUGAAAAGUGAUGCAGGGAGAAAGAGGAUGCAAUCAUCAUGCACAAGUCUGAGUAUUCCUUUCGGAAGACAAGCAUCUAAUAAAUUU